rnacentral:rRNA from 1 species
ACAGCAGCCGCCGCGGGAAUACAGAGGGUGCGAGCGUUAAUCGGAUUUACUGGGCGUAAAGCGUGCGUAGGCGGCUUUUUAAGUCGGAUGUGAAAUCCCCGAGCUUAACUUGGGAACUGCAUUUGAAACUGGCAAGCUAGAGUCUUGUAGAGGGGGGUAGAAUUCCAGGUGUAGCGGUGAAAUGCGUAGAGAUCUGGAGGAAUACCGGUGGCGAAGGCGGCCCCCUGGACAAAGACUGACGCUCAGGUGCGAAAGCGUGGGGAGCAAACAGGAUUAGAUACCCCUGUAGUCCCUGUCUCUUAUAC